rnacentral:SRP_RNA from 1 species
UCGUGCUAGGCGGGGCGCUAGGGGUGCCCUGAACCCGAAACCCUCUCCAUGCGGGGCCGAAUACCCUGCCCGAGGCCAUCUGCCUUUCGGGCAGCACCGGGCACGUGGUGUUGAACGUUGGGUCCUGCGCGGCAGGGCACCGUGAACCGGGUCAGGUCCGGAAGGAAGCAGCCCUAAGCGGGCCGCCCUGGGUGCCGCAGGGUCGCCUGACCGGAGCCAACGACCCGGAAAGCGCCGACGGGCCGACGGUCGACGGCAGGGGCACGA